rnacentral:rRNA from 1 species
AGCAGCCGCGGUAAUUCCAGCUCCAAUAGCGUAUAUUAAAGUUGUUGCAGUUAAAAAGCUCGUAGUUGAAUUUCGGGAUUAGUAAGUUGGUCGUGCCUCCGGUAUGUACUGGCUCUACUGGUUCCUCCUUCUUGAAGAACUGUAAUGUCAUUAAUUUGGUGUUGCAGGGAAACAGGACUGUUACUUUGAAAAAAUUAGAGUGUUUAAAGCAGGCUAACGCUUGAAUACAUUAGCAUGGAAUAAUGAAAUAGGACGUUUGAUCCUAUUUUGUUGGUUUCUAGGAUUGACGUAAUGAUUAAUAGGGAUAGUUGGGGGCAUUAGUAUUCAAUUGUCAGAGGUGAAAUUCUUGGAUUUAUUGAAGACUAACUACUGCGAAAGCAUUUUGCCAAGGAUGUUUUCAUUAAUCAAGAACGAAGUUAGGGGAGUCGAGACGAUCAGAUACCGUCGUAGUCUUAACCAUAAACUAUGCCGACUAGGGAGUCGGAUGAUGUUUAAUUUUUUUAAUUGUACUCUAGUUCGG